rnacentral:rRNA from 1 species
AGAGUUUGAUCAUGGCUCAGAUUGAACGCUGGCGGCAGGCCUAACACAUGCAAGUCGAACGGUAACAGAAAGCAGCUUGCUGCUUUGCUGACGAGUGGCGGACGGGUGAGUAAUGUCUGGGAAACUGCCUGAUGGAGGGGGAUAACUACUGGAAACGGUAGCUAAUACCGCAUAACGUCGCAAGACCAAAGAGGGGGACCUUCGGGCCUCUUGCCAUCGGAUGUGCCCAGAUGGGAUUAGCUUGUUGGUGGGGUAACGGCUCACCAAGGCGACGAUCCCUAGCUGGUCUGAGAGGAUGACCAGCCACACUGGAACUGAGACACGGUCCAGACUCCUACGGGAGGCAGCAGUGGGGAAUAUUGCACAAUGGGCGCAAGCCUGAUGCAGCCAUGCCGCGUGUAUGAAGAAGGCCUUCGGGUUGUAAAGUACUUUCAGCGGGGAGGAAGGGAGUAAAGUUAAUACCUUUGCUCAUUGACGUUACCCGCAGAAGAAGCACCGGCUAACUCCGUGCCAGCAGCCGCGGUAAUACGGAGGGUGCAAGCGUUAAUCGGAAUUACUGGGCGUAAAGCGCACGCAGGCGGUUUGUUAAGUCAGAUGUGAAAUCCCCGGGCUCAACCUGGGAACUGCAUCUGAUACUGGCAAGCUUGAGUCUCGUAGAGGGGGGUAGAAUUCCAGGUGUAGCGGUGAAAUGCGUAGAGAUCUGGAGGAAUACCGGUGGCGAAGGCGGC